UAAAGACCAAACUUUGAGAGGUUUAGGGUAUCUUUUAUUUCUCUUUAUUUAUUAUAUUUUCUAGAUUAUCUAUGUUAGGUUUAUCAUGCAUGAGUUCAUGUUCAUCCUCUUGGGAUUAUCUUUUGUAUUUGAAUGUUAAUUCAUUGUUCUAGUUGAUAUAUCUUUCAGGGUCUUUGAAUUGUAUUCUUUACUUAGCUUAAUUCGUAUUAGUUGUUCUUGUUCUUCCUAGAUUAGUGUUUAUUAUAAGAACUUAAGGAGUCUAUCUAGUUCAUAGUUAGGUUGUUGUCUUUCUCUAUUUUAAACCCUAAUCUCGUAUCUUAUUGAUUCCGUGUAUUUUUGCAUUUUCAAUAUGAUUCCGUAUCAUCUUUGUAUUAGAGCGAAGGUUAAAGAUUGUUCAAUCAAUCCUUGGGUCAUUGUUCUGUUAUCAUCAAUCUGAAAAUCAAAAAUUACUAAAAAUAGCAGGUUACUGUUCAUCUGUGACUGAAAUACAAAUCGUAUCUCCUUGUUCUUCUAUGUUUGUUUCCAAAAUAGAAAUACAAAAGAUUAUCUCCCUCAAUUUUGAUUCUGAAACUUCUGAAUUUCUUCACUAUCUGAGAUUGAAUCACUUAUUUGAGCUGAAAUUCGAAGUUGGUUUGAGAAUUGAAACCUAAAUCGACCAACAGCAGAAAUCGAAAUUUGGAGGAUUUGCUCCGAAUCGAAAUUUUGAGCUCGAAAUCGAUUGGGUGAGUUCUAAUCUUGUUGGUACAUCUUGAUUGAGGUGAAAUCUGAUGAAUUAGGGCCGAUUUGAUCUGAAUCUCUAGGUUUGGGUUCAAAAUAUUUCGAAGCUGCUUCAGUGGAGAAGACGGCCUAGGGUUCAUCGAUUUAGUGAGCCUUGUUCCAAAUUGAUUUAGGAGCUUUGUUCGAGCUGUUGUUGGGAGUUUGUAAUCCAAAUUUGAGCUCCAUUGGUGAAGGUUUGGGUCAGUGACGAAUCGAAAAUGCUGUGGCGGAAUUCGACAAAAUUGCAGCUGUGUUCUUCAUCCGCUAGGAGUCGUUUGCUACUGAUUUGUCGCCUCGAACAUCAAUUCAUCGUCACACACAGGUUUGGUACUUCUAAGAUCAACCUUGCUUCAUUUUCUGAAAAUUCAUUCAUCGCAACAUUCAGUUUUGAUUCCUUGAGAAUAAGCACUGAAUUUUUACUCGAUUGUCUGAGUUGAUUGAGUCUGAAUUCGUUAGUCGACUCGAAGUUGUUAUUAGUUUGAAAUAUUGUAUGAAGUUCUGGUUUAUGAAUUCAGUUGAGAAUUUUGAUUGAGUUUCAAAGUGUUAACUGAAAGAUCUCAUUGAUAGCUUGGUCGAGGUUCUGUAUUUGCUCUUGUUGUUGGUAGUUGCGCAUGAGUUUCUGAAUUCUAUUGGAGCAAAGCUUAUGAAAAUUGAAAAAAAAUUGAUAAACAAUUGAGCAGAUUUCAAAUAGCUACAGCUUAGUUCUUCAAUCCAGAUUGUUUUACUGAGCUUCAGUUGCCAAGUUUUCUAAUUUCAAGCUCCUUGAAACUUAAAGAGGAGUGAACAGAUUUUCUUUAAGCAUCAGCUCGACACUGCCCAGUUUUCUUAGCCAAAGUGGGAUUGAUUGUUGCUGUUGCUAGCUCUAGAAUUGGGUUGGAAUUUGAAUCUAAGUGUUGAAUUGAGAUUGGUUACAAUUCUUGUGCACUUUUGGACAGUUUUCUGCACUUUUUGAGCCAAGUUUAGCUUCAGUUUACUGCAGCUUUAUAGCCUGUUUGGCCAAGCUUCUUUCGAGGCAAAAGCGCUUUUUUUUGGGUCAAAAGUGUUUUUUUUUCUAAAAUUAAGGUGUUUGGCCAAGCUUUUGAAAGGAAAAAAAAGUGAUUUUGAGGUGAAGCAGAAGCAGUUUUGUAGAAGCAGAAAAAAGUAGUUUCUCUCCAAAAGCACUUUUGAGAAAAAUACACUUACAAGCAGGUUUUUAAAGCUUGGCCAAACACUAAUUGCUGCUCAGAAGUACUUUUCAAAUUAAUUAGCCAAACACAAAUUGCUUCUCACCAAAAGUACUAUUGAGAAAAGCACUUUUGAGAAAAAACACUUCUCAAAAUAAACUGAUUUUUGCAGCUGGGCCAAACAGGCUAUUAGACUUUCUACUGUUUGAUUUGUUUUUCAGAAGUUCUUCCCUACUGAACUUCUACAGUUUGGUAAACUGCUUAGCUGCUGUGAAAUUGGUUGACGUUAGCUGAUUUGAGUUUGAUCAACUAUUUGAAAUCUGCUAAUUUGAGGUUGGAUGUUUUGGAGUUUAGUUUGGACUUGAGUUUGGCAGAGGAAGCUCAACAGUUUGAGAAUUCAUUUGUGAGGACUAAACAUUAAAUGUUGUUGCUUACAAAAAUCUUGUGAUAGCACCUGCAGUUCUGCCAGAUUUUGUUAAUUUGUCCAAGAUUAAUUCUGCAGCAGAUUUUCAGUUUCUCCAUUGUUUAGUUGCUAAAAAUCUGAGUUGCUACCCAGUUCUGCACUAGUAGUACUCUGCAAAUUAUGUGUUGUUUAAGCUGAUUGUCUGCACUGGUUAGGUUUCUGACAUGGCUGCUAAAGUUUAAAUCCUUGGACUGUUUUAGGGUGUUAUUGACUGAGAAAAAAACCAGAAGAAUUUUCAGGCAUUCCAGCUGCAGUUUGAACUAAAUCUGCAGUAUUUGAACUUGUGUUUGAAGCAGAAAACCAGUUGAUCUUUGGGGAUUGAAAAUCUGUGAAUUGAAGAGGCCUAUAGCUGCUGUUAAGUUGAAUUGCAAACUGCAGGUUGUAGUUCCCUGCUGCUACAGUUUGGCUGCAAUUGUGAACAUCUUCAGUAGCUUGCAGUCACUGAUGAACUUUGCAUUUGAGCUACAACUUGGAGUCUUUUUACAGAAUUGUGAAGAAGAUUGCUCAGGAGAUCACCAACAGUCUGCAACCUUGUCAGUUAUUGUGAGGCUGUCCAGAAUUGCAGAUUUGACCAGUCCUUACCUAUGUGGCCAUUCUUUGCAAAUCCGACCAAUUUUACAAAACUAGCCAGUUUUUGAGAAUAUGACCAAAAUUUGGAUAAGUGUCUAGUUUUGUAGUUUCUUUUCUUUUAUUUCUUUUCAAUUUGUAGGAAACUCAACUCUUAACAAGAUUAACUUGAUAUUAGUUCAUAUUGAGUUUAUUUCUAGUUUCUUUGUGUGCUUUUGUCACGACCCAGCCUAGGCCCGCGAUGGAUAACCGAUACUAAGUGUCGAUCAUCACUAAACUUGUUGAUAAUCUAAUAAUCAUAAAUAUAAACGGAUAAACUGAACAAGCAUAAGCAUAGCUGAUAAGAACUGUACAAUCUGGAAAGCUGACAAGGCUAACACAAGCUGACAUAUAAAAAUGUAUUAACUGCACAGGUGCAUAUCUACAGGCCUCUAGGAGUGCUGAACUGAAAAAGUACUAGACGGAACAGGGCCCCGUCAUACCCAAACUAGCUGACUGUACACAUACC
rnacentral:lncRNA from 1 species